UACGAAGGGGGCUAGCGUUGCUCGGAAUCACUGGGCGUAAAGGGUGCGUAGGCGGGUCUUUAAGUCAGGGGUGAAAUCCUGGAGCUCAACUCCAGAACUGCCUUUGAUACUGAAGAUCUUGAGUUCGGGAGAGGUGAGUGGAACUGCGAGUGUAGAGGUGAAAUUCGUAGAUAUUCGCAAGAACACCAGUGGCGAAGGCGGCUCACUGGCCCGAUACUGACGCUGAGGCACGAAAGCGUGGGGAGCAAACAGGAUUAAGAA
rnacentral:rRNA from 1 species